rnacentral:rRNA from 1 species
CAGUCGCCACGGUAAUACAGAGGAUGCAAGCGUUAUUCGGAAUGAUUGUGCGUAAAGGGUGUGCAGACGGCUUAUUAAGUCACUUGUUAAAUUCUUCGGCCUAACUGUAGGUCUGCAAGUGAUACUGAUGAGCUAGAGGGUGGAAGAGAGAAGUGGAAUUCUCGGAGUAGCGGUAAAAUGCGUAGAUCUCGAGAGGAACACCAAUGGCGAAGGCAGCUUCUUGGUCCAUUCCUGACGUUCAUACACGAAAGCGUGGGGAGCAAACAGGAUUAGAUACCCCCGUAGUCCCUGUCUCUUAUAC